CUGAAAUAAUGCACACGAUACUGUUCUUGAAAUACAAUAUAGAAUAAAUAUAAUAAAAUAAUUAAUAUAAUAGAAUAAAAUAUAAUAUAUAAAUAAAUAAAUAAAUUUAAAAUAAAUUUCUGAUAUUAGUAUAUGAUAAUUAUCAUUAUACAAAAUUCUAAUAGCAUAUAUAUAGUAAAAUAAUAUAUUAUAAUUAAAUAACAAGAUCAUGAUUCAAUCUGUGUGUAAUCAAAAAUAGAAAAAUAUAGCAUCUAGGAGACAUUUAAGUGUGAUAUAACAGGUUAUUAGUGGUUGUAUUUUUAUUUUAAGUAAGAGCAUUACCAUAAA
rnacentral:lncRNA from 1 species